UACGGGGGGGGCAAGCGUUGUUCGGAAUUACUGGGCGUAAAGGGCUCGUAGGCGGCCAACUAAGUCCGACGUGAAAUCCCCAGGCUUAACCUGGGAACUGCGUCGGAUACUGGAUGGCUUGAAUCCGGGAGAGGGAUGCGGAAUUCCAGGUGUAGCGGUGAAAUGCGUAGAGAUCCGGAAGAGCACCGGUGGCGAAGGCGGCCCGCUGGGCAGGAAGGCUCGCAAGAGCCGGCUGACGCUGAGGCGCGACAGCGUGGGGAGCAAACAGG
rnacentral:rRNA from 1 species